ACUUGUAUACGUAUCAUAGUAAGUGCAUCUCGAUGAGCAAUAUCAAAAAGACCAUUCACAGAAUCACUAAAUAACUUUUCUUUUUGUUUAAAUGUUUGAUUGGUUUUAUUUUUUGAAAUACCUUUCCACUCCUCGUAAAGUUUAAUUAACUUAGCUUUGCACCUAUGAGAUACUUGUGUCGGAAUCCUAGCUUUUUUCCAAAACACUACACAUUCCUCAAUCACUAGUGAAGCGCUAUCGUUUAAAUUUAGUUUUGUUAUUCUCAUAUUAUAAAAUAAAACUUUUAGACAAUCACCUCUUGAAGGCAAUUUUGAACCUGUUAUUUCAUGAUUCAUAUACCUAAUGAGAAUUAUCUUUUUACGCUACGACAUUUUAAAAUUUAUUUGAAUAAUAACUGAGGUAACAGUUAAAUAUAUACCUAGAUACUUUUGUUACUAUACAACAAAUCACGCUGGCACUAUGUUUUAUUAUUUGAUGUAAUAACUGCAGUAGAAAUAAAUGGAUAUAGGACAACGGAAUAUUCCCAAGCACCAUAAAAGAUUAUUAAUAAUAUUUCUAUUUUAUAUUAUUUGGUGUAAUAACUGUAGUGAAAAUAAAAAUGGAUAUAGGACAACGGAAUAUUCCCAACCACGGUAAAAAAUUAUUUAUAAAAUUCAAUACACACUGUUGCGUAAUUAUGGAUAUUAGAUAGAUAUUGCUAAAAUUUAUAAUAAUAGUACUAUUAAAACUGAAAUAUUUUUUAUUAGUYAACUUUUCACUUUAGUCGUCACACGUUAAAUUUCUUCAAUUAUGCUUAAACUACAGAUUUUUAUUUAAAAGAUAUAUAAAAACCAAAUUAGGGGGCGCACUGGUAAAAAAUUUUACUUAAGAAAAUAAGUGGCACCCUAUUGUUCAUAAUUACUUCAUAUAAUAUGGGAAAGAGAGCUAUGAUUCACAAUAAUUUAAUAGUUCUUAAUUUUUAAUUUUUUUUUUUAAAGGCAAACACCUGAUCAUCCUAAACUUUAUUUGUGGUCUGAACAAGGUUCAACAAGAAAUGAAGAACCUAUUCAAGAUAAGCUCGAAGAAUUGCUCUCUGGACCAGUACCUGAAAAACCUAUCAAUAUUUCUGAUUGUAGAAAAAAUCUACUAGAAGAAAUUGAAGAUGGCUUUGACAAUUUAGAAGCCAGAAUUAACUUAUUUGAAGCCAAAACUAAUGGACUUGAAGAUCAAGUUAAUGGCUGCG